rnacentral:rRNA from 1 species
UACGUAGGGUGCAAGCGUUAAUCGGAAUUACUGGGCGUAAAGCGUGCGCAGGCGGUUAUGCAAGCCAGAUGUGAAAUCCCCGGGCUUAACCUGGGAACUGCAUUUGUGACUGCAUGACUAGAGUACGGUAGAGGGGAAUGGAAUUCCGCGUGUAGCAGUGAAAUGCGUAGAUAUGCGGAGGAACACCGAUGGCGAAGGCAAUUCCCUGGACCUGUACUGACGCUCAUGCACGAAAGCGUGGGGAGCAAACAGG